GAUGAACGCUGGCGGCGUGCCUAAUACAUGCCAGUCGAGCGAACAGAUGAGGAGCUUGCUCCUCUGACGUUAGCGGCGGACGGGGAGGUAAACGGUGGAAACCCUCCCUUUAAGCCUGGGUAACCUUGGGAAAACCGGAGUAAUACCGGGAAAUAUAUUUAAACGCAUGGGUCAAUUAUGAAAGACGGGUUUUCUGGCACCUAUAGAUUGGAUCCGCGCCGAAUUAGCUAGUUGGUAAGGUAACGGCUUACCAAGGCAACGAUGCGUAGCCGACCUGAGAGGGUGAUCGGCCACACUGGAACUGAGACACGGUCCAGACUCCUACGGGAGGCAGCAGUAGGGAAUCUUCCGCAAUGGGCGAAAGCUUGACGGAGCAACGCCGCGUGAGUGAUGAAGGUCUUCGGAUCGUAAAACUCUGUUAUUAGGGAAGAACAAAUGUGUAAGUAACUAUGCACGUCUUGACGGUACCUAAUCAGAAAGCCACGGCUAACUACGUG
rnacentral:rRNA from 1 species